rnacentral:lncRNA from 1 species
AAUACGGCGCGACCCUUGGCUAGGUCAAGAAGCCAUUGUGGAACGGCCCCAAGUUGGGUCAAGCAACCAAUGCGGCGUGACCCCUGGCUAGGUCAAGAAGCCAAUGCGGUGUGAUACCAAGCAUGGGACUACUACCCAUUGUGGCAUGGAUCUAUCGCAAUGCCUUGCUAUUUUUAACAUCCAAACACGGUCCAAAACUCAUCUAAAAUUUUCAAAAUCUCCC